rnacentral:rRNA from 1 species
UACGGGGGGAGCAAGCGCUGUUCGGAUUUACUGGGCGUAAAGGGCGCGUAGGCGGCCACCGCAAGUCGACUGUGAAAUCCCCGGGCUUAACCUGGGAACUGCAUUGGUGACUGGCAGGCUUUGAGUGUGGCAGAGGGAGGUAGAAUUCCACGUGUAGCAGUGAAAUGCGUAGAGAUGUGGAGGAAUACCGAUGGCGAAGGCAGCCUCCUGGGCCAACACUGACGCUCAUGCACGAAAGCGUGGGGAGCAAACAGG